AUUAAGCUAGGUUACAGUUCAUCCACAAGGACUCAAAUAUAGAAGUAUGGAGUCCCUCUCAGGCCAUAUUUAGUUUGCUUUAACACCAUAUACCAGCAUGUAGGUUGAACUACACAGCCCAAUAUGAAACCUGCUGACAGAAGUAUGUAGCAAUAUGGACGUAAAGCCAAAAGACCCUCUCCAACAUACUUUAUAGUCACACCCUCUGUCAAGGAGGAGAAAGGGAAAGAAGAAAAAAAAAACCAAUAAUAUACAGAUUUAAAGGUGGGGGGGGAAUUUUACCUAUAGGAAAAUAAUUACAAAAAUUAGAAAUGCCAGUUAUCUCCAAAGGAGAAAGAACCCACACAAGAAUUCUGGCACCAUGAAAAAUGUGAAUGCUGUGACACCACCAGAAGAUCACACUAGUUCUCCAAUAAUGGCCCCCAACUAAAAUGGAAACUCAGAAAUGUCAGCUAAAGAAUUCAACCCAUGGAUUCCAAGAAAACUCAAAGAUGUUCAAGAUGAGAUUGAAAAUCAACAAAAAGAAACUACUAACACGAUCCAGGAAAAGAAGGAAGAGAUAAGCACCUUCAAAAGAAAUCAAUCAGAGCUUCUGCAAUUGAAAACCUUACUUAAAGAAUAUCAAAAUACAAUUGAAAAAUUUAUCAAUAGACUAGACUAGACCAAGCAGAAGAAAGAAUUUCAAAGCUUGAAGACCGGCCCUUUGAGCUAACCCAGUGGUGUGGGGGUGGGGGAAAAUAAAUAAGUAAUUUUUAAAAAUGAACAAACUAGGAUAUUUUGUCUCAUACUUACAGUGGACGACCUUGAUUUUCCACUUCUCUUCAGGAAUGAGUCAUAUGGUGGUAGAAAAUGCCCUCGACCUGGAGGAGCAGUUUGCUCAUCUGGACCUGAACUCCUCUGAUAAACAGAGUGGAGGAGGAAGUACAGCAAGCCAAGAGUGCUAUAUACCUCCUCACUCAAGGAACAAGGAAGCAUCUAAAGGAUUCUAUGAUAAAGACAGUUCAGGUUGGAGUUGUAGCAAAGAUAAGGAUGCAUAUAGCAGUUUUGGGUCUCGAGAUUCAAGAGGAAAGCCUGGUUAUUUCAGUGAUUAUGGAAGUGGAUCAAGGGGAAGAUUUGAUGAUCCUGGAUGGAGUGACUAUGAUGGUAUUGGCAGUCAUGGUGACAGAACUGGCUUUGGCAAAUUUGAACGGAGUGGACACAGUCAUUGGUGUGACAAGUCAGAUAAAGAUUAUUGGUCAAAACCACUUCCACCAAGUGAAUGCUUGGAGUAGGUACUCUUUUCUGGAGGAAACACUGGGAUUAACUUUGAGAAAUGUGAUGACAUACCAAUAGAGGCAACCAGCAGUAACUGUCUUCCACAUAUUGAAAAUGUCAGCAAUGUUGACGUGGGAGAAAUUAUCAUGGGGAACAUUGAGCUUCUUACUCACUAUACUCAUCCUACUCCACUGCAAAAACAUGCCAUUCCUAUUAUUAGGGGAAAAAGAGACUUAAUGGCUUGUGCCCAAGCAGGGUCUGGGAAAACUGCAGCAUUUCUUUUACCUGUACUGAGUCAGAUAUAUAGAGAUGGUCCAGGAAAAGCUUUGAAGGCUGUAAAGGAAAAUGGAAGGUAUGGGUGCCAUGAACAAUACCCAAUCUCCUGGGUUUUAGCCCCAACAAAAGAACUGGCUGUACAGAUAUGAGGAAGCCAGAAAAUUUUCAUACCAGUAUAGAGUUCAUCCUUGUGUAGUUUAUGGUGAUGCUGAUAUUGGUCAACAAAUUCAGGUCUUGGAACAUAGAUGCCACUUGUUAGUAGCCACGCCAGGACGUCUAGUGGAUUUGAUGGAAAGAGGAAAGAUUGGAUUAGACUUCUGCAAAUACUUAGUGUUGGAUGAAGUUGAUAGGAUGUUGGAUACAGGAUCUGGACCUCAGAUACAUUGUAUACUGAACAAGAUACUAUGCCACCAAAGGGCAUUCAUCACAUCAUGAUGUUUAGUGCCACUUUUCCUAAGGAAAUACGAUGCUUGCUCGUGACUUUUUGGAUGAAUAUAUAUUUUUGGCUGUAGGCAGAGUAGGCUCUACCUCUGAAGUAGUUUGGGUGGAAGUAGUUUGGGUGGAAGAGCCAGAUAAACGGUCAUUUCUGCUUGAUCUCUUAAAUGCACCAGGGAAGGAUUCACUGACUUUAGAGUUUGUGGAGACAAAAAAGGGAGCAGAUUCUCUGGAGAAUUUCUUAUACCAUGAAAUAUAUCCUUGUACUAGUAUUCAUGGAGACCAAUCACAGAGAGAUCAAGAUGGAGGCCCUUCACCAGUUUUCCUUCAGGAAAAGUCCAAUUCUAGUGGCUACAGCUGUGGCAGCAUGAAAACUAGACAUUUCAAAUGUGAAACAUGCUUCAAUUUUGAUUUGCCAAGUGAUAUUGAAGAAUAUGUGCCUUGUAUUGGCUGUACAGGAUGUGUGGGAAACCAGGGCCUUGCCAUCUCAUCCUUUAAUGAAAGAAAUACGAAUAUUACAAAGGAUUUGCUGGAUAUUCUUGUAGAAUUUAAACAAGAAGUGCCUGCUUGAUUGGAAAACAUAGCUUAUAAACACCACUACAAGGGUGGUAUUCGUGCAUGAUCUAAAAGAUUCAGUGGAGCAUUUGGUGCCAGAGACUAUUGACAAUGUAGUGGUUCCAGCAGUUCUGGCUUUAGUAGUAGUCAUACAAGCAGCAGCUGCAGUGGUGUAGGUGGUCAUGACAUCAGCAGCAGAUGUGGUAGAGGUGGCUAUGGAGGCUUCUACAACAGUGAUGGAUGUGUAGGAAAUUAUAACUCUUGUUAUAAGAGUUACUAAGAGCCAGGCGUGGUGGCUCACACC